AGCUAAUAGUUUUCUUAAAAACAAAACUUGAUGGAUACUGUUGAUUGGUCACUGUGGCUAAAAUUGAGACACAGGUCACUUCCAGCACAGUAAGAGUAUUAUAGUGGUGACAAUGAGACCUGUAACAUUU
ensembl:snoRNA